rnacentral:rRNA from 1 species
GUGACCAACCUGCCCCAUGCUCCAGAAUAGCUCUUGGAAACGGGUGGUAAUGCUGGAUGCUCCAACUUGACGCAUGUCUUGUUGGGAAAGUGUUUAGUGGCAUGGGAUGGGGUCGCGUCCUAUCAGCUUGUAGGCGGGGUAAUGGCCCACCUAGGCUUCGACGGGUAGCCGGCCUGAGAGGGCGGACGGCCACAUUGGGACUGAGAUACGGACCAGACUCCUACGGGAGGCAGCAGCU